rnacentral:lncRNA from 1 species
AUAAAAUGUAGGUAAAUGCAAAGCAUUUUGAAUGAUGGAAAUGAAUCCAGUGAUUUUCUGAUAUAAGCUCUGUCAUGCGGUAGUAAGCAGCAUACUUUCAGUACUACUUUUCAGGUAGGUGUGUUUUGUGGCAGUCGGUCUCGCUACCAGAUCACGAACCAGUGCAAAGAGGCGCCUGUCCACUGAGGUCUGUGCUGGCUGGAAGUCUAAAGCAAUGGAAUACAAGUCUUAUGGGUUUUAUUUUCAUGAUACAUGCUGGACAAGAGCAAAGAGAAAAAUUCCCUUUACUUUGUCUCCUGCUUGUUUUCUCACCUGCCUCUCGUUCUUGGCAGAUGCGCAAAAGAGGCCUUGGAGGAGAGGAUCAACAGCUGCACGGCAGAGGAGAUCUAGCCUGGCUUGGUGGUGGAUGGAUAAACAUGGAUCCACUGGACACACGGAAUCAGAACAAAAGUUUAUCUCCUUGUAUAACCUCCUCGUUAUAAUUACUGAACAAAAUAACAGCAAUAAGACACGACAAAAGUUGAAAAUGAGUGCUUGCUGCAGGGACUGCUGUGCAUUUUCUGACCCAUUCACAGGUAGGCAGAACUUGGAAGCUGGCUGGAUGUCCACAGUGUUCAGCUUUACCUAAUGGACACAGAUGCUUCUCUUCAGCUUGUGCUUGUAUUGGGCUGGUUUUCAAUUUAUUUCUUAGUGAAAAGAAAAGCAAAUUAUUGUUCUCCAUUUAAAGCCUGGGUCUUGCUGUGUGAACAAGUUCUUUUUUUUUUUUUAAUUUAUUUAUUUUAUUUUUUUUUCUGAUAGCGGAGAUUUUUUUUUUUUCUUCCCACUUCCCAUUCCUGAAUACUGCUGUGGUAGAAGAUGGAAUGUAAACUCUCCUUUGAUUUUGCUUCUCUGGUUUGUUUCAAACAUUUGAAUAUCCUGUUAUUAGAAAGCCAAAUUGCCAAUGUUUGUCACAGUGUUUUAUCUGUGAUCUUAUUUGUUUCCUGAGUAGAAGAAAUAGAUAUUUGAUGUUGUUAUUGUAUAUUGUGAUUCUUAUCAUGCUUUUAUAGAGGUGUAACUCAGUUGACUCUAGUUGAGAUGCUUCUGAUUUAUACCAUGGAGAAAGGAGAGCAGGAAUAACCAGGUCAUGAUGUUUUAAGGAUGAUAUCUGUAGCAGAUGGUAGUAGUCCACAUAGCAAACUGGAUAGAUGCAAGAUAUUAAAUCAGAGGAACCAUUAUCUCAGUUUUAUUUCUUUUGAACUUUGGAGCUUUCUUUUGUCACAGUUAUGAGGAAAAAAUACUGUAUGCUCACAGGAACGGAGGAAGGAAACUGAAUUGUUUGUAUAUCAUGAACACAAGUGUGGCUUGAGACGUUUUUUUCUUAAAAUGAUCAUGAGGGGCAUUACGGAUGCAUCUGUAAAAGCUCUAAAGUGGAGUUGUGUGCAUCCUAAAUAGCAGAAAAUUAUAGAAGUAGUAGUGCUAUGAUUUGAUGGCCUCUUCCUGAAUCAGCUCCAAACUGAAACUGCAGAUGCCAGAAGAGACCAAUUAGUACGAAUAUCAACGCUGUAACUGAGCUACCCAAAAUAAGUAACUGAGAAAUUGUCAAAGAAAGAUCUGAACAAAAUGAUGGCAAGAUUAAAACAGUCAUUAAUACUGAAAAGCUAAGAUAGGGGAAAGGGGCGAUGAGCAUUACAGUGCAGCUAACCAUGCAGCCUACAACAAUUUUGUAAUUAAGAAGCCAUUAGUGGUCUGCAUGCUGGAUAGCAUUAUCCCAACUCCCACAUCAUGUCAGUUAAAACACUGUUAAUGUGUUUGAUGCAUUAUGAGGUAAAUCAGAGAGAAACUAAGAAGAUACACUUGUCCUCUAUGCUUCUACAAGAUUUCUAGGGUUGGGGAGGUUUUCACUACAAGUGCUCAAGGGGAACAUGAUGUCUUUUUAUCUGGCUUCCCAAUUCAGUGUGUUUGGGGCUGACACUCUGGAGAACAAGGGGUCGGUUCUUGGUCAUACAACCAAGACAUGGCAUUUUUUCCUCCAAUGAGUCUCUAAUUUUUUUUUUGUUUGUGGAAGAGAAAACAUUGGGAUUACUAUGCUUAUAAAAGUAGUCAGAGUAUUAGAGGUUAAAAGUAUUGUGUUGUUAGUGUGUGUGUGUUAUCACCAAAAUCAUUCAGCUUCACACUUUGACAAUGUGCCCAUCUGUUUCCUACUUCCUUCAUUAAGAUACUCUCAUUUAUUAAGACAAGAGGAAAUGGAAGCAAUUGAAGUGCUAAUUUUAGCUUAAACAUUAAACUGAUUUUAAGUGUUCUAUAGAACAAAUAUCAAGGGAGUCUAAAGCAUAUAUAUACACCUACUGGAUUUCCACAGUGAAUAGAUACCACAGAAGAUUUAGAACAAACAUUAACAUAAAUUAAACAUGGAUCUAAAGAUUUUUAAGUCCCAAAGGUCCGAUCUAUGAUAAAUUAAUAGAAUAGUUCCAAAGCACGCACAGGAAUACUUCUCAAAAUUGGCUAAUGUGCUAAAAUGAUCUUAAAGGGCAAAACAAGUAUUUCAAAUAGAAAGCAAGAGAAAAACAGGACUCAGAGACUUUUCAACUGUAUUUUGUAAUCUACUGCAUGCAUUUUAAUAUAUAAAAAAAAUGAAACCCUUGUUCAGUAAGGUACAACAGAAAAUGGAUGAAAUGGGAUACAUUUCACAUAUGUAAAAGGCUUUCAGAACGGAGAGGUAUUUCUCAAGCUUUUCUAGUGGCUUUGAGUGGGAAAGGAUGACAACAUUUCAAUAGUCUUGAGCUUAUGAGAUUUAUUUCUCCAUUUAACUUCUCUGGUAAUUAGUCGAUUUUACUAACUAGCCAUUUAUGUGACAGAUGAUUCCUUAAGUAAAUGCAACAACAGUCAUGAAAGCUUGGGAAUGCUUUUUAAGCAGAUCUGCCAAUAUUGCAUUUAGGGGUUUCAGGAAUUAGUGAUUAGCUGAUUAAUAUGUACAUUUUUGCUCAAAAUGAUAACAGCCGAGGAUGUUGAGAUGUCUGGUGUUAACUAUUGGUCUUUCGAGCUGGAAAAUUGCCCAAAAGGCACCUAACUUAGCACAUUGUCAAUAAGUAGGUAUGAGGUCUUGUAUAUUACUUGAAAUAAUAAAUAUAUCACACAAUAGUCA